UACAUUCGUUAAUCUUAAUUUCUUCAAAAUUACACUUUGUAAAGCUCUAAAUGU
rnacentral:tRNA from 1 species